rnacentral:rRNA from 1 species
UACUAGAGUAGCACUCGCAUAUCAAUAAGCGGAGGAAAAGAAACUAACAAGGAUUCCCCUAGUAACGGCGAGUGAAGCGGGAAGAGCUCAAAUUUGAAAUCUUAAAGGGUUUCCCUUUACGAAUUGUAGUUUAAAGAAGUGUUUUCUGUUGAGGUUUUGGUAAAAGUUCUUUGGAAUAGGACAUCAUAGAGGGUGAGAAUCCCGUAUUUGACCUUUACUUUCAACUUUGUGAUACGCUUUCAAAGAGUCGGAUUGUUUGGGAAUGCAGUCCAAAAUGGGUGGUAAAUUCCAUCUAAAGCUAAAUAUUGGCGAGAGACCGAUAGCGAACAAGUACCGUGAGGGAAAGAUGAAAAGAACUUUGAAAAGAGAGUUAAACAGUACGUGAAAUUGUCAAAAGGGAAGCGUUUGACACCAGUGUUGUUUUUCUGAAAAUCAAUUAAAGAACUGUUUAUGCUAAGCUGUUUAGACUUUAUCAGCUAUCUGUUUAGUUUUGAGCUUUUCUUUAAUGCACUUUUCAGUUAACAAGUCAACAUCAAUUUCUUUUGCUGUAAAAAAGCUUGAGGAAGGUGGCUUGAGAUUCGUCUUAAGUGUUUAUAGCCUCUUGCCUAUGCAGUCGGAGAGAUUGAGGUCUGCAGCGUAGAUCCUUCGGGGCUAAAUGCAUUUGUGCUAAGUUAUAGCAUUUUAUAGACAACUUGUUGACUAUGAUUUGUCUUGUAGCUUACUCGCUUAUGUUAUUUUACCUACGCUUAGGAUGUUGAUCUCUCACAGUCGAGC